GCCUAAGGCCAUAUCACAAUGGACAUGCCGAAUUUUGUCUGAUCUUGGAGGUUAAGCAUAGUCAGGCCUGUAUAACACUUACAUGUGAGGUUUUGAUCU
rnacentral:rRNA from 1 species